UACGAAGGGUGCAAGCGUUACUCGGAAUUACUGGGCGUAAAGCGUGCGUAGGUGGUGAGUUAAGUCUGAUGUGAAAUCCCCGGGCUCAACCUGGGAAUGGCAUUGGAUACUGGCUCGCUAGAGUGCGGUAGAGGGUGGUGGAAUUCCUGGUGUAGCAGUGAAAUGCGUAGAUAUCAGGAGGAACACCGAUGGCGAAGGCAGGUCUCUGGGCUGACACUGACGCUCAUGCACGAAAGCGUGGGGAGCAAACAGG
rnacentral:rRNA from 1 species